UGUGAAGUAAAAAGUCGUAACAAGGUUUCCGUAGGUGAACCUGCGGAAGGAUCAUUGUCGAAACCUGCAAAGCAGACCGCGAACUUGUGUUUAUAACUAAUCGGGGCCUCGGCCCCACCCCCCACCGGCGAGCGCGUGAGCGACCGUCGUGUGGGCUAACGAACCCCCCGGCGCGGCAUGCGCCAAGGAAAACUCAACGAAGCGCCUCCCCGUCGAUGCCCCGUUCGCGGUGUGCUCGGAGGGACAGUGCGUCUCUUGAAUGUCAUAACGACUCUCGGCAACGGAUAUCUAGGCUCUCGCAUCGAUGAAGAACGUAGCGAAAUGCGAUACUUGGUGUGAAUUGCAGAAUCCCGUGAACCAUCGAGUUUUUGAACGCAAGUUGCGCCCGAAGCCAUUAGGCUGAGGGCACGUCUGCCUGGGCGUCACGCAUCGCGUCGCCCCCCUCCAAUCCCUCGGGACAACGGAGAGGGGCGGAUAUUGGCCUCCCGUGCUCUUUGGUGCGCGGCCGGCCCAAAUAUGAUCCCGCGUCGACGUGAGUCGCGACCAGUGGUGGUUGAUUCCUCAACUCGCGUGCUGUCGUGCCGUACCGCGUUGUUCGUUCGGGCAUCGUCAUAGACCCAAAAGGUGCUCUAGAGUGCCUUCGACCGCGACCCCAGGUCAGGCGG
rnacentral:rRNA from 1 species